GGGGGCGUACCGGUUUCGACGGGGACGUAGAUGCGGUUAUAGCGGGCAAAGGCGCCUGACCUUUUCAAAACGGGCACUUAUAAAUCAAAGAACAACAACAGAACUGUUCUUGCCGCGGCCUAAUUAGGCCUGGCCGUUCUGCCGGAGAGGACCACGGCUCCGGACAGAGCGUCGUUUAGUGGUGAACGUGAGUGCGUCAAGCUUUGCGCGCACCACGCAUUGAUGAAGCUACCGAAGCACGGUGAAUGACGGCUGACGCCGUGCCGAGGGAAACGGGGCGACCCGAAACAACCGUCUGCGCCCGGAGAAGUAGCCGAGGAAGCGUUUUCGGACAGGGGUUCAACUCCCCUCGCCUCCACCA
rnacentral:tmRNA from 1 species